GUGGGGAAUAUUGGGCAAUGGGCGCAAGCCUGACCCAGCAACGCCGCGUGAGGGAAGAAGGUCUUCGGAUUGUAAACCUCUGUCCUUGGUGAAAAGUAAGAGAUGGUAGCCAAGGAGGAAGCUCCGGCUAACUACGUGCCAGCAGCCGCGGUAAUACGUAGGGAGCGAGCGUUGUCCGGAAUGAUUGGGCGUAAAGGGCGUGUAGGCGGCCGUUUAAGUCUGGAGUGAAAUUCCUGUUUUUAAGGUAGGAACUGCUUUGGAAGCUGGACGGCUUGAGUGCAGGCGAGGUGAUCGGAAUUCCCGGUGUAGCGGUGAAAUGCGUAGAGAUCGGGAGGAACACCAGUGGCGAAGGCGGGUAACUGGACUGCAACUGACGCUGAGGCGCGAAAGUGUGGGGAGCAAACAGGAUUAGAUACCCCUGUAGUCC
rnacentral:rRNA from 1 species